UGUUGCCCUCGUGCGAAGCGGCUGGGGCUUAUGGCUUAUGUCCUUGCAUUUACACAGGUACAGCAUCUUUGUCCCACACCAAACUGAUGCCUGGUUUGAAUCCUAAAAAACCUGCCGCUUGAUGUCAACUUGUUUGUUCUGCCACAUCUGGACACGCGCGGCCUCUGAGCAUUCAUGCUCUGAUGAUCAGUCAAGCUUGCUGAGUCUGUUACCGGUCUCAUAUCAAGGCCAUCCCAGUGUGGACCUCCUCGUCAAGUCUUUCCGGAACCAGAUCUACGGUGCUGCCAGUAGUUCCUCACUCACACCUCUCCGCUAACUGAAAAGAACUGGUUUCACUACGCAGGGAGGACAUGGGAGACCAUCGAGAAAUCCAGCCUCAUGUCAGAGUUGAACAGACUUCUAACCUGAGGGUUUCUUUUCCUGGAUGAAUAACGGACCCUCUGUUUCAGUGGAAAACACGCUGUUGGCCAAGAAUAAAGGCUGUAUUUUUCUUGUUGAUGAAAAUGGAGUUCAUUCAUUUAUAGAGACUACAACUGAGCCCUUUUUCUGGGGUUUUGUGAUGACAAAAAAUAUGG